AUUACACAGACCAUUGCCGCUAUCUGUGCCGAAGGCCAUAAAAAAUGCUGCUGAGAUCUCAGGGAUGAAACAAGAACACUUGAGGGAUGCUGGUUGAGUUUUGGGCUUGGCUCAAAGUAAAAAUCGUUACUGAGAAAGCCAAACUUACGGAGGUGGAAGUUGGCGAUGAACUUCUCUGCUCUCGUUCCAACAAGGAUGGAUUUCUAGAAACUAGCUUUGAUACAAUUUGUGGCUUGUAUUUUCUACCAUUGCAAAAUUGUUGGCUCUUACCA